rnacentral:misc_RNA from 1 species
UCCGGUUUGUCACCGGCAGUCUCCCUAGAGUGCCCUUGCGUAGCAACUAGGGACAAGGGUUGCGCUCGUUGCGGGACUUAACCAAACAUCUCACGACACGAGCUGACGACGGCCAUGCAUCAUCUGUCACCGAGUUCAAUAAAGCACUCACUACUUUCGUAGUAAUUCUCGGGAUGUCAAACCCUGGUAAGGUUUGUCGUUUAGCAUCGAAUUAAAGAACAUAAUCCACCGCUUGUGCGGGUCCCCGUCAAUUCCUUUAUGUUUUAGUCUUGCGACCGUACUCCACAGGCGGGAUACUUAACGCGUUAGCUUCGCUACAGAAGGGGUCGAUACCUCCCACAGCUAGUAUCCAUCGUUUACGGCGUGGACUAC